ensembl:snRNA U6 U6 spliceosomal RNA
GAAAAGUGGGCAAUUUCAAAACCCCAUUUUCAAAUGAUACAGAGAAGAUUAGCAUGGCCCCUGCGCAAGGAUGAUAUGCAAAUUCAAAACCUCAUUUUCAUCUUU